UUAUAUUUUGAUACUGUUUGAAUUAUUUUAUAAUUUAACUAUUAUAUUUGAUUAAGUAUAUUAGGUUAGAAGAUGUUGAUUAAUUUGGAUUUUAUGAUUAAUUGAUUGGAUUUUGUGAUUAAUUGAUUGGAUUUUAUGAUUAAUUGAUUGGAUUAGAUUCAAAUCAAUUCUUAUUAUGCCCAAAUUAUAGUAUAAUUCAAUGAAAUUAGAGAAAAUAUCAAAAA
rnacentral:lncRNA from 1 species